GUGAAAGCACAGAAGGGCAGGGACAGGCCAAAUGCCACUGCUCAGUACUCAUUCCCACCCUUCCUGCCGGCCGGGACAAGGACACAAAGGGCCUCACUGACCAGAGAGCCGCCCUGCCAGCUCCUAGGCAGGAGAGCGUGGUGCCCACAGUUAACCAGGGGAGCUGACCUUCUGCCUGGAGCAAGAUGGAGACCAGAGGGUGGCCUAAGAGGUUCACUGCAUUCCUUUGAGCCUACAGAUAAGGUGCUCCUCAAGACUUGGACAAUAGCAUCUCCAGAAAGCCAACUAGAAGAAAAGUGAACUGGACCUUGGGACAUACUUCUCACACUCCCACUGUGGUGAAGUUGGCAGAAAUAAAACCUUGGAUUCAUAACACUAAAGAAAUGACCAUACCCUGGCUUCUGUAGCUCAGUGGAUUGAAUGCGGGCUGCGAACUAAGAUUGCUAGUUUGAUUACCAGUCAGGGCACAUGCCUGGGUUGCAGGCCAGAUCCCCAGUGGGGGCCAUGUG